ensembl:rRNA 5S_rRNA 5S ribosomal RNA
AUCUACAGCCAUACCUCCCUGCACACCCUGUCUCAUCUGAUCUCAGAAACUAAGCAGGGCCAGGCCUGGUUAGUACUUGGAUGGGAAAAUACCCUGAGGCUGACGUGC